rnacentral:rRNA from 1 species
AGAGUUUGAUCCUGGCUCAGGAUGAACGCUGGCGGCGUGCCUAAUACAUGCAAGUCGAACGAGGAAUCUUUAUAUUCGUACGGAGAUUUCCUAGUGGCGAACGGGUGAGUAACGCGUUGGUGACCUGCCCCGAAGAGAGGGAUAACAGCUUGAAAGGGCUGCUAAUACCUCAUGUGAUCUCUAGGAUUAGAUGCCUGUUGAUUAAAUGGAUUUAUUCGCUUCGGGAGGGGCCUGCGUCCCAUCAGCUAGUUGGUAGGGUAAUGGCCUACCAAGGCUAUGACGGGUAGGGGACCUGAGAGGGUGACCCCCCACACUGACACUGAAACACGGGUCAGACACCUACGGGUGGCAGCAGUAGGGAAUAUUGGUAAUGGACGAAAGCCUGAACCAGCAACGCCGCGUGCGCGAUGAAGGCCUUCGGGUUGCAAAGCGCUUUUUGAGGGGAUGAGGAAGGACAGUACCCUCAGAAUAAGCCUCGGCUAACUACGUGCCAGCAGCCGCGGUAAAGCGUAGGAGGCGAGCGUUAUUCGGAUCUACUGGGCGUAAAGCGCGUGCAGGCGGUUCGGUAAGUUGGAUGUGAAAGCUCCUGGCUCAACUGGGAGAGGUCGUUCAAUACUGUCGGACUAGAGGAUGAGAGAGGGAGGUGGAAUUCCGGGUGUAGUGGUGGAAUGCGUAGAUAUCCGGAGGAACACCAGUGGCGAAGGCGGCCUCCUGGCUCAUUUCUGACGCUAAGACGCGAAAGCUAGGGUAGCAAACGGGAUUAGAGACCCCGGUAGUCCUAGCUGUAAACGAUGUAGACUGGCGUUGGUGGGGUAAAAUCCAUCAGUGCCGUAGCUAACGCGAUAAGUCUACCGCCUGGGGACUACGAUCGCAAGAUUAAAACUCAAAGGAAUUGACGGGUCCCCGCACAAGCAGCGGAGCGUGUGGUUUAAUUCGACGAUACGCGAAGAACCUUACCAGGGUUUGACAUAUAAGUGGUAGGGAUCCGAAAGGUGACCGACCCCUCGGGGAGCUUAUACAGGUGCUGCAUGGCUGUCGUCAGCUCGUGUCGUGAGAUGUUCGGUUAAGUCCGCUAACGAGCGCAACCCUCGUCGUGUGUUACAAGUGUCACGCGAGACCGCCGGUUUCAAGCCGGAGGAAGGUGAGGAUGACGUCAAGUCAGCAUGGCCUUUAUAUCCUGGGCUACACACACGCUACAAUGGCUGGUACAAUUGGUCGCGAAACCGCGAGGUGGAGCCAAUCCUUAAAGCCAGCCUCAGUUCAGAUUGUAGGCUGCAACUCGCCUGCAUGAAGAUGGAGUUGCUAGUAAACGCAGGUCAGCAACACUGCGUUGAAUACGUUCCCGGGGAUUGUACACACCGCCCGUCACGUCA